AUAAAUUUCAUUUUCUUGUUAAACCAACUUAAUGGAACUUCUCACCCUAGCAGCCCAAAGAUGACAUAGAUGAUCUAGAAUAUGAAAAUUUUGAUCAGGACAACCAAACAGACAACAAAAGAAACUCAGAUCUUUAUGAUGUAAACACCGAAUUAUUGAAAAUCUUCUUCUGCUGCUUAUCUCCUUCCAAGUAUAACUUCCAAUCCUUUAUCUGGGUCCCUUCAUCUCCGUGGAAUCCUUAAACCGGGUUGGGCAGAACUACAUUACACCAAGCAGUGAGGAGGAGGAAUGCUGAUGCAAGCAAAGUAAAUUUACGGAAUGGUUAAUGUUCCUCACCAGGACUCAGAAGAGAAUAAUAGGAGAUUUUACCAAGUCCUCUUGCAUUCUGUGAUUUUCAUUACACAGCAAAUUGUGCCUCAAGGGAGUAAUUUUUGAUGAGGCUAUUGUUGUGUAUGUUUUACUGUUUUGUUUUUUCAAAGCACAAGUCUGUAGAACAGGAACUAAGAAGACCUGUAGGAAGUUGAGGUGAGAUACCCAGAUGAAGCCUUACGACCUCGAUGACCUCUUCAGUUUGACCUAACUGAAAUAGCUAUCAUGGAUCAUCAACUAUGAAAAAAUAAAACAAAAACAAAAACAGAUAAGACUGCCUAGAAUAUCAGAAAAGAAAGC